rnacentral:rRNA from 1 species
ACGAAGGGUGCAAGCGUUACUCGGAAUUACUGGGCGUAAAGCGUGCGUAGGUGGUUUGUUAAGUCUGCUGUGAAAGCCCCGGGCUCAACCUGGGAAUGGCAGUGGAUACUGGCAAGCUAGAGUGCGGUAGAGGGGUGUGGAAUUCCCGGUGUAGCGGUGAAAUGCGUAGAGAUCGGGAGGAACACCAGUGGCGAAGGCGGCUACCUGGACGGGUACUGACGCUGAAGCGCGAAAGCUAGGGGAGCAAACAGGA